rnacentral:ncRNA from 1 species
CCAUUUAGAGCUGUAACUUCGGGAUAAAGCUUGGCUCUGAUGAAAAUCAGAACCGAUUGUUACGCGGAGAGCCCAACUGUUUAAUAAAAACGUAGUGUCGCGCUGUGGUAGUAUAGCCAGUGAACGCGACAUGAAUCCUGCUCAGUGCUGUGUCUGUUAAUAUGGUUCAAGCCAACGAAGCACCGGUAAAUAGCUGGGGUAACUAUGACUCUUAUCAAAGUAGCGAAAUACCUCGUCACUUAAUUAGUGACCUGCAUGAACGGAGCUAUGAGGUUCUCACUGUCCCAAACUGUCUCUCAGCGAACCAACUGUAGUGGGAACGGUCACUAGAUAUCCAGCGGGGAAAGAAGACCCUGUAGAGCUUCACUUUGGUCUAGUCUUGUAUAGUUCCUGCGGGGGUGUAGACUAGGUGGGAGAGCAAUCGAUUCUGAAAAACCACUACCCUGUUUGGAAUUAUGCUUACCUAUCACAAGGAAUAGGACUAGAUAGAAAGUUUGGCUGGGGCGGCACACCUUCGAAAGAGCAGCGAAGGUGUCCUAAGUUGAGCUCAGUGAGGACAGAAAUCUCACGUUGAGGAUAAGGCCAAAAGCUCAAUUUACUGUGCCUUUUUGUACUAGGAUCAGUUACGAAAGUAAGGCCUAACGAUCCCUAAAUAGCCUCAGGUGCGUGAGGAUUGGGGUGACAGACAAGUUACCUCCGGGACAACUGGCUUGUGGCUGCUAAGAGAUCAAAUCAACGCAGCUUUUUGAUUCUUCGAUGUCGGCUCUUCCUAUCCUAGUGAUGUACAAGUUGCUAAGGGUCGGAUUGUUCACCCGUAUUAGGGAUCGUGAGCUGGGUUUAGACCGUCGUGAGCCAGGUUUGUUUUAUCCUACUGGAUAUAGCAUCAUGAUAGUAGAUUGAUUUAGUACGAGAGGAACUGUUGAUUAUGGCCUCUGGUUAGCGAUUAUCGGAAACGGUAUGUCGCGCAGCUACGCCGUCUGGGAUAAUGGCUGAAAGCCUCUUAAGCCAG